CCUACGGGAGGCAGCAGUGGGGAAUAUUGCACAAUGGGGGGAACCCUGAUGCAGCGACGCCGCGUGAGUGAAGGAGUAUUUCGGUAUGUAAAGCUCUAUCAGCCAGGUAGAAGAUGACCGUACCUGACUAAGAAGCCCCGGCUAACUACGUUCCAGCAGCCGCGGUAAUACGUAGGGGGCAAGCGUUAUCCGGAUUUACUGGGUGUAAAGGGAGCGUAGAUGGCAGGUCAAGUCUGGAGUGAAAGCCCGGGGCCCAACCCCGGGACUGCAUUGGAAACUGCCAUUCUAGAGUGCUGGAGAGGUAAGCGGAAUUCCUAGUGUAGCGGUGAAAUGCGUAGAUAUUAGGAGGAACACCAGUGGCGAAGGCGGCUUACUGGACAGUAACUGACGUUGAGGCUCGAAAGCGUGGGGAGCAAACAGGAUUAGAUACCCUUGUAGUC
rnacentral:rRNA from 1 species